GGUGAAUUGCAUUGGAUGCUCAUGGCUUGUUUUGUUGGUCAGGUAGCUCGAAAACUGGAAGUACUUCUGGCUGCCACAUGGUUUUGGCUGCAUCACAUUUUGGUUUCAUUGCAGUUGUGUCAGUGGGUAGGUUGCCUUGUUAUGGCUCUGUUAUUGUGCAGUACCUGUUUUCUUCACUCUGCUUUUUGAUAAGUGGGAAAUUGGCUAGAAGGUUGUUGAAUCCGUUGUGACUCGGUUAGACUUUCGGUUAUGAGCUUUCGAGUUUCGGUUAUAAGUUGGAGGCCAAUCUAUUGUUACUGCAGGUUGAAGCAACUCUGUUGGAAUCAUGCUUGGCCUGGAACGAAUGGUUUGUAAGGUGGAAAGCUUGGAUGAAAAUUUGAAAAUUGGGAUUGGAAUUGUACUUGAAAUGUUUUAUGGUUGUAAA